AUUGAACGCUGGCGGCAGGCCUAACACAUGCAAGUCGAACGAGUGGCGGACGGGUGAGUAAUGUCUGGGAAACUGCCUGAUGGAGGGGGAUAACUACUGGAAACGGUAGCUAAUACCGCAUACCAUCAGAUGUGCCCAGAUGGGAUUAGCGAGUUGGGGGGGUAACGGCUCACCAGGGCGACGAUCCCUAGCUGGUCUGAGAGGAUGACCAGCCAAACUGGAACUGGGACACGGUCCAGACUCCAACGGAAGGAAGCAGUGGGGAAUAUUGCACAAUGGGCGCAAGCCUGAUGCAGCCAUGCCGCGUGGAUGAAGAAGGCCUUCGGGUUGUAAAGUACUUUCAGCGGGGAGGCGUUACCCGCAGAAGAAGCACCGGCUAACUCCGUGCCAGCAGCCGCGGUAAUUC
rnacentral:rRNA from 1 species